GGUUUUAUCUCAUUUCUUACUUUCAUAUCAGUUUGAAGAGAAUGAAAUUCCCUGAUUAUCACUUUGAUAUACCUAGUCGAUUAUGUCUGUGAGUUAUAUAUUGAAUUUCAUAAAGUUUGACGGUUAUUGAAGAAAUGUUGACACAAUUUAGCAUAUUGAAACUGCCCCGCUGAUUUUUUUCCACGACGUUUAACUAUCUAGGUAGAGAUGAAAUGUGGCUUUUAAAUUAGGUAGAGAUUCUCAGUGCUUCAAAAAUUAACAAUUAUGUCUGUUGUCCUGUGGUACGUGUAGUGGAAGCCAGGUUAAAAUUAAUGUGACAAUAAGCGUCAUUUGAUUUUUUCUUGACGUUUAGCAUCAAUAUUGAAAUUUUCUUUGAAACGAUUUUCUGUCAAAGUACGGCGUCAUUUUCAAUUGGCAAGCAAAAUUUAAGUGGAGUGGUUUGUCACAAGGACGAGUGAUGACUUACAUUUUAAUUGACAGCGUUGAAGAACUUUGCUCUUACCUUGGCGACCUUAUCAAAGUAGUUCCUUCCGAUCAACUGGAGGUUUAGAGACCCCAGACACUUCCUGACAAGAAUACCGAAGACCUGGAGAUAAUGAUAAUCGGACGGUUGCAGGUCGUUUGUGAACUGGAUCGUGACUUGGAAUUGAGCUUCGUCGUAACUACGCACAGCGACAAAUUCCAUGGUCUGUAACAGAGUGAAUUGAUCGUCGUUCGUGGGUACGUGAUGUUGUUGCGUGGAAAAGAAAAAAAAGAACAUAAUUUAUAUGAAGCAGCAUAUAGAAUGUGCAGCAUUUUUAAAUUCAUAUAGCAAGUUCAGCUUAGAAGUACAUAGGUAAAAAUAUAGAGAUUUAAGUUUAAAUUUUAAGUUGAAUUCUUUUGAUAUUUAAUUGGACAAAAAAUUAAAACUAAUAAAAUAAAAUGAUUAUAUAAA